GUAACAAGGUCUCCGUUGGUGAACCAGCGGAGGGAUCAUUACCGAGUUUACAACUCCCAAACCCCUGUGAACAUACCAAUUGUUGCCUCGGCGGAUCAGCCCGCUCCCGGUAAAACGGGACGGCCCGCCAGAGGACCCCUAAACUCUGUUUCUAUAUGUAACUUCUGAGUAAAACCAUAAAUAAAUCAAAACUUUCAACAACGGAUCUCUUGGUUCUGGCAUCGAUGAAGAACGCAGCAAAAUGCGAUAAGUAAUGUGAAUUGCAGAAUUCAGUGAAUCAUCGAAUCUUUGAACGCACAUUGCGCCCGCCAGUAUUCUGGCGGGCAUGCCUGUUCGAGCGUCAUUUCAACCCUCAAGCCCUCGGGUUUGGUGUUGGGGAUCGGCGAGCCCUUGCGGCAAGCCGGCCCCGAAAUCUAGUGGCGGUCUCGCUGCAGCUUCCAUUGCGUAGUAGUAAAACCCUCGCAACUGGUACGCGGCGCGGCCAAGCCGUUAAACCCCCAACUUCUGAAUGUUGACCUCGGAUCAGGUAGGAAUACCCGCUGAACUUAAGCAUAUCAAUAAGCGGAGGAA
rnacentral:rRNA from 1 species